CAAUAGCGUAUAUUAAAGUUGUUGCAGUUAAAAAGCUCGUAGUUGGAUUUGUGGCGUACGGUGUGUUCCGGGCACUUGUUGUCUGAGUAACCUGCUGUUGCCAUCCUUGGGUGGAACCUGUGUGGCAUUAGGUUGUCGUGCAGGGGAUGCCCAUCAUUUACUGUGAAAAAAUUAGAGUGUUCAAAGCAGGCUUAUGCCGUUGAAUAUAUUAGCAUGGAAUAAUGAGAUAGGACUUUUUUGCUAUUUUGUUGGUUUGCGCAAAGAGGUAAUGAUUAAUAGGGACAGUUGGGGGUAUUCGUAUUCCGUUGUCAGAGGUGAAAUUCUUGGAUUUUUGGAAGACGAACUACUGCGAAAGCAUUUACCAAGGAUGUUUUCAUUAA
rnacentral:rRNA from 1 species